rnacentral:rRNA from 1 species
GAUGAACGCUGGCGGCGUGCCUAAUACAUGCAAGUCGAGCGAACAGACGAGGAGCUUGCUCCUCUGACGUUAGCGGCGGACGGGUGAGUAACACGUUGAUAACCUACCUAUAUGACUGGGAUAACUUCGGGAAACCGGAGCUAAUACCGUAUAAUAUAUUGAACCGCAUGGUUCAAUAGUGAAAGACGGUUUUGCUGUCACUUAUAGAUGGAUCCGCGCCGCAUUAGCUAGUUGGUAAGGUAACGGCUUACCAAGGCAACGAUGCGAAGCCGACCGGGGAGGGGGAUCGGCAACACUGGAACUGAGACACGGUCCAGACUCCUACGGGAGGAGGAAGUAGGGAAUCUUGCGAAAUGGGCGAAAGCCGGACGGAGCAACGCCGCGUGAGUAAUGAAGGUCUUCGGAUCGUAAAACUCUUUUAUUAGGGAAGAACAAAUGUGUAAGUAAAUAUGCACGUCUUGACGGUACCUAAUCAGAAAGCCACGGCUAACUACGUG